CUGCGACCCCAGGUCAGGCAGGGCCACCCGCUGAGUUUAAGCAUAUCAAUAAGCGGAGGAAAAGAAACUUACGAGGAUUCCCCUAGUAACGGCGAGCGAACCGGGAU
rnacentral:rRNA from 1 species